rnacentral:misc_RNA from 1 species
AGAAUGCUCCUACACCCACUGCAUACAAGUUGGCUCUGCAUAGCUGCUACAGCAAGUGGAGAGAAAAAAUCAAGAGCUUGUCAAGAGUGAACUUGCUAACGAGGAACAGAAUCUAUCUUCUCCAGAUCCUCCUCGCGACCACCGAUUUUCUACAGAAACAAUCACGUAGAAGCCCCAGGAAGGAAAUCUGAAAAUGGUGGAGGAGAGAACGAAUAAAGGGUUAGUUAUGAAGAAGACGAUCGAAGAGGCGUAGCUAUGGAGGAGGCCGGCUUAAGCGGAUGAGGAUGGAAGCGAGAACUGCGGUU